rnacentral:ncRNA from 2 species
UGUUACCGCUAGGGGUGCUCUUUGGAGCUGAGAGAAGCGUAUCGCUUUAACCCUUUAACUUGAUCCGGUUCAUACCGGCGUAAGGAAGUGGUGCAGACACUGC